GUUCUUUGGUGGACUGUUGGAUGAAGGCUGAGGUCUUAUUUUCCUUUGACAUGGGUGAGGUUGGAGACUCUUGGCUGGCUCUGGUUGGCCAUCUUAUUGUCUACAACAAGUAAACAAGUGUGAGAAAAACCCGGGGUAAAGUGUGAGUAAAAUCCGGAGUAAGGUGUAUCUAAACCCAGAGUGAAGUGUGUGUAAAUCUGGAAUAAAGUGUGUGUAUAACCUGAGUAAAGGUUGAGUAAACCUGGAGUAAAGGGUGAGUAAAACUAGAGAAAAAUGUGGGUAAAACCCGGAGUAAGGUGUGACUAAACCCAGAGUAAAUUGUGUGUAAACCUGGAAUAAAGUGUGUGUAAAACUUGAGUAAAGGUUGAGUAAACCUGGAGUAAAGGGUGAGUAAAACUAGAAAAAAGUGUGAGUAGACCCAAAGUAAAGGGUGUGUAAGCCCGGAGUAAAUAGCGAGUAAAGCUGGUGUAAAUUGUGAUAAACCCAAAGUAAACUUGAGGGUAAAACCUGGAGCAUCUUGUUAGGAACCCCGGAGUAAAUUGUGAGUAAAGCCCUGAGUAAAGUGAGAGUAAACCCACAGAAAAGUAAGAGUAAACCUGGAUUGAAGUGUGUGUAUCCCCAGAGUAAAGGAUUAGUCAAGCUUGAAUAAAG
ensembl:lncRNA